rnacentral:rRNA from 1 species
AGAGUUUGAUCAUGGCUCAGAACGAACGCUGGCGGCAUGCCUAACACAUGCAAGUCGAACGGGGAUCCUAGCUUGCUAGGUGAGAGUGGCGGACGGGUGAGUAACACGUGGGAAUCUGCCUUUUGGUUCGGGAUAACCGCGGGAAACUGCGGCUAAUACCGAAUGCCCUCGAGAGAGGAAAGAUUUAUCGCCAGAAGAGGAGCCCGCGUCCGAUUAGGUAGUUGGUGGGGUAAAGGCCUACCAAGCCGACGAUCGGUAGCUGGUCUGAGAGGAUGAUCAGCCACACUGGGACUGAGAUACGGCCCAGACUCCUACGGGAGGCAGCAGGUGGGGAAUAUUGGACAAUGGGGGCAACCCCUGAUCCAGCAAUGCCGCGUGAGUGAUGAAGGCCUUAGGGUUGUAAAGCUCUUUUGCCAGGGAAGAUGAUGACUGUACCUGGAGAAUAAGCCCCGGCUAACUUCGUG